GGGGGUAUAGCUCAUUGGCAGGGCAUUCGGCUGUAGAUCGAGAGGUCUCCGGUUCAAACUCGGAUGUCCCCU